rnacentral:lncRNA from 1 species
CCUGGCCAGGGUCCUGGUCCCAUCCCAGUGGGCUUCCUGCCUGCCAGCCUGGGGGAGUGGCGUGGGCUGACCCCGACCAGACUGACCGGGCCUCAACAUCACCUGGGAAUCUUGGAAGGAAACAGGUUCCUGGGCCUUGCUCCAACCUAAGGAACCCGAAUCUGCAUAGCUCACAUGGUGCCGUAUUUCCAGCGUUCAGAGCACAUUGGAAAGUUGGGAGGAAGGAUGAGGCUUGUGUUUUCACUCACAAACUCCCUCCAGAAGAUGAUAAUGAAAGUGUCUGACGCAUAAGGAAAUAAAUAAGAUUGUUAUGUGCCCAGCUCAAGGGCUAAGGUGUUGGUCAAGACCACACCCGAGGGGCUGCCAGUCACAGGGUGGGGUCCAAGCUCCUCACCCAGACCCAACCUCCCCUGCUCUGCAGCCUCAUCCUUCCCCUGUCUUUCCUGGGUUAAAUUUUACACUUAGUAACACUGAAACCAGGCAGUUUCAUACCUCUGAGCCUGCAUCUAUGCUCAUCUCUUUACCUGAAACGUCUUCUCUCACC